ACUGCUUGCCGCGGCGGGCCCUAAUCCGCACUUUCGGCGUAGAUUAGGACGCGGCCAUUUUCAGCAUUCGGCUUUCAUGUAUGUGGGACUCGGGGUUGAAUCAGCACAGCAGAACAUAAUUCGACGCCACUGGGUGUGUGAGUCUCGACCCCUGCUCGCCACACGCCAUGGCUCUCGUGUUGUUGAGCUCUUCGCAGAUGCGAUGCUUAUGGUCGUGGCAUCGCUUUGCAUUGUCUCCACUGUUAGAGGUGAGUCGCGGCUGACAGAGUCCUUGUGGGGCUAGAUCGAAGUUAAAAGCGAAUUUUCCAAAAACAGCGAGUAACCCACGAAGAACUCCAAUCAAGGAAAUAAUUUCAGCCGCGACCGGAUGGCGUACACUUGAAAUUAAUCAAAAAGAACCCUUGGUCACUGGCACCGAAGGACAAAUAGAUGGGAUCUCUUGCCCACCCAAUUGAGGAAGAUUGUAAGGUACUGGUUUUGAUUACGUGCGUAUCAUCCUCCGAGGCUUCUCCCUCUCUCAAUUUCUUGCUGCUAGAUUUUGUGUCCGAGUUUCCAACCCUACAUUGCCGACAACAACCUCAAUCGGGCAGGACCCUAUCCCGAGCAGUUGUUCCUGAGUUGCUUGUUUGCUGGAUUUGCAUCGAUGAACAUCGUGAAAGGCUGAUACCCACGUUGUGAAAAUGAACAAUGCGUGCACAAGAAUAAUUCUUGCGCUGCAAUGGUGCUUUUAAAAGCCAUUAUCCCAUCUGCGAAGAGCUCAACAAAACGAGAGCCAUGGCGCGUGGCGAGCAGGGGUCGAGACUCACACACCCAGUGUGUCGAAUUAUGUUCUGCUGUGCUGAUUCAACCCCGAAUCCCCCAUACAUGAAUGCCAAAUGCCGAAAAUGGCCGCGCCUUAAUCUACGCCGAAAGUGCGGAAUAGAGCCCGCCGCGGCAAGCAGGUUGGACCCAGUUUGGGCCCAAUUACACUUAAAAGAGGGGGGUAGAUUUCAUAUUAUCACGCUCAAGCUCAAGGUAUAUUAUGAGAAAAUUGAGGGGUAGAUUUGCCAUUAUGAAGAAUACAGGGGUAUUCUCGAUAUUUCAACGUAUUUCAGCAGUAUACAUGAUGUUUUCUCUUAUCAAAACUCAGUAUGUAUUGAUUAAGAAACAUUAUUCUAGAAAUAAAAAUAGGCAAUGGUGUUUUUCACA